CUCCGCUUUACUCGAGUUUGGUAGAGUCGUGGUAUUGCGCCACCACGACGUCAUCAGUUUGAGGAAAAAUUGAU
rnacentral:pre_miRNA from 1 species